rnacentral:rRNA from 1 species
CCUACGGGAGGCAGCAGUGGGGAAUUUUGGACAAUGGGCGCAAGCCUGAUCCAGCAAUGCCGCGUGUGUGAAGAAGGCCUUCGGGUUGUAAAGCACUUUUGUCCGGAAAGAAAUCAUUCUGGCUAAUACCCGGAGUGGAUGACGGUACCGGAAGAAUAAGCACCGGCUAACUACGUGCCAGCAGCCGCGGUAAUACGUAGGGUGCGAGCGUUAAUCGGAAUUACUGGGCGUAAAGCGUGCGCAGGCGGUUUGCUAAGACCGAUGUGAAAUCCCCGGGCUCAACCUGGGAACUGCAUUGGUGACUGGCAGGCUAGAGUAUGGCAGAGGGGGGUAGAAUUCCACGUGUAGCAGUGAAAUGCGUAGAGAUGUGGAGGAAUACCGAUGGCGAAGGCAGCCCCCUGGGCCAAUACUGACGCUCAUGCACGAAAGCGUGGGGAGCAAACAGGAUUAGAUACCCUGGUAGUCCACGCCCUAAACGAUGUCAACUAGUUGUUGGGGAUUCAUUUCCUUAGUAACGUAGCUAACGCGUGAAGUUGACCGCCUGGGGAGUACGGUCGCAAGAUUAAAACUCAAAGGAAUUGACGGGGACCCGCACAAGCGGUGGAUGAUGUGGAUUAAUUCGAU